rnacentral:rRNA from 1 species
CCUACGGGGGGCAGCAGUGAGGAAUAUUGGUCAAUGGACGCAAGUCUGAACCAGCCAUGCCGCGUGCAGGAAGACGGCUCUAUGAGUUGUAAACUGCUUUUGUACGGGGGUAAACGCAGAUACGCGUGUCUGAUUGAAAGUAUCGUACGAAUAAGGAGCGGCUAACUCAGUUCCAGCAGCCGCGGGAAUACGGAGGAUUCAAGCGUUAUCCGGAUUUAGUGGGUUUAAAGGGAGCGUAGGCGGUCAGAUAAGUUCGAGGUGAAAUGCCGCGGCUCAACCUCGGGAGUGCUUCGGAUACUGGUGGGCUAGAGAGUAGUUGCGGUAGGCGGAAUGUAUGGUGUAGCGGUGAAAUGCUUAGAGAUCAGACAGAACACCGAUUGCGAAGGCAGCUUACCAAACUACUACUGACGUUGAGGCACGAAAGCGUGGGGAGCAAACAGGAUUAGAUACCCCAGUAGUC